GGCACGCCGCGAGGGCGCGCGAACUACAACUCCCAGCGUGCCAUGGGUCCCGCUCCCUGGACCCCCGGCCCAGGGCGGCUGCUUCCCCACUCUAGGAAUUCUGGCCGCACCGACCUCGCCGCUCCCGCCGCCCUCGCUGGGGAGUACAAAAGUCAGCAGCUCCCGCCGGGGUGGGGAUCCGGGCGCUGCCCGCGCCAUGCUCCGCAGACUGGCCCGAGCGACGGCCCCGGCUCACCAGGUGGUUGUGUGUGCCCUGCAUUGUCACCCAGCUGCCCCCUGAGACCUGCCCCAUGGCACCCUGGACCUGGCUGAGCUGGAGAGGAUGAUCACACGGGGCCUCCGGAGCCCCUCCCACCAGGUCUGCGAGCUCAUUUGCCUGGAGAACUCACACAGCACCUUGAGGGGGCCGGGUCCUCUCCAUCGACUACCUACGCCCAGUAGGCCCGGCCCCACCACGGUGCGCCCCCCACCAGCCUGAUCCUGGCUUCCUGUGCCCCUGGCCCAUCCUGGGGUUCAGUCCCCUCUGAUUUGUGCCAUGGGCACCCAUCAGUGGCCAGACCUGUCACAGGAAGGACACAUGUAUGGUCCUAGGCUGAGACACAAAGGGAAUUAUUGCCCCAGGCCAGGGCCCCUAGUCCCUGCACCAGCCCAAGAGCAGAGAUGCCCCCACCUCCAAGCCCCGAGAGCCGAGUCCCAGAGCAGCGCCAGGGCCUGCUGCCUUGGCCUGGAAACACGCGCCCCAUCAGGCUGUAGGAACAAGCGCGUGUGAGUGCCCUGCACCUGGUCCUCGCCACCCACAUACGAGGUGAGGAGGCCGCAGUGGCUGAGCUCUGCUGUUCACCAGACACUAAUUGGGCAGCAGCCUAACUCUCCAAGCCUUGCGUUUCUUGCCUGUGAAAUGGGAGCAGUGGCGUCUCCCUCGAGUUGUCGUGAAGCCUAAAUGAGGUGACAUACAUUUACCCUUGGCCCACGGCUAGCAUUUGGCCCAUGGUCAGUGUGCGACAAAGCUGGGUUAAAUGUGCACCCCCAGCCCCUCCCAGAGCCCAGCACGGAGGCUCAGGCAGCACAGCCUGACUGCUCAGGUCCCAGAUCACCAGAGCCAGUCACCAGCCAGGUCUCCUGAUCCCUCAUGAUUCCUCAGGCAGCUAAGCCCAGACCCCUCUUCCCUCUAUGCCUCCCUCAGGCCUGGCCCCUCUGACUGCAUGCACCUCGUCCCCAGGUGCACCUCCUGGCCCAGACCUACAAGGCCCAGGUCCACCUGGAUGGGGCCCAGCUGAUGAACACGGCACUGGCCCUGCAUGUCCCACCACCCACAUUGUGGAGCACUGUGACUCUGUCUUUCUGCCUCUCCAAGGUGGGAAAGCCCUGGGCUGGCCUCCCACAGCAGGUGGGGCGGGGCGCCCCAGCAGGAGGCAGUGUUGGUUUCCUGAGCUCCAUCCCUGGCAGCCGGCCCCAGGUUCCCCUUUAACACCUCUGCAGACAGGGCUAUGCAUCUGUGCCUACCCUGGCCCAAGGACAGGGAUGUGUGCUGGCAGGAGUCUCUCUUCUCCACCUCCCAGGGCCUGAGCGCCCCAGUAGGGUCCCUGGCUGGGAGGCCCAAGGACUUCACUGAAGAAGCUUGGUGCCUCCAAAAAGCCCUGGAUGGAGGCGUGCACCAGGUGGGGGUGCUGGCCGCCCCUGGUGGGACUGGCUGACACGGAGCAGGCACUGCAGCGGGACCACGUGAACGCCCAGAGAUUCACCAGAGGUGCCUGGACAGGACACCCCACCCUCGCUUCCCUGUGCUUCCUCUGACUUGGCCUGAGCUGUGCCGUGGGGGGUCCCCCAGCAGGUCUGCAGGCUUCUGGACCCUGGGACUCAGGGUGGCCAUUGAGUCACUAGGGCGGGACCCAGGGCACCAGCUGCUUCAGCAGGCCCUACUCAGUGCAGAGUCCAGCCUGAGGAAGCCCUCGGUGGAUGGCCAGGAUUGUAAUGUCCGCAGCGUCUGGCAGAGCCUCUAACCCGCGUCUUGCAUCUCUUCACUGAGUCCUCCAACAACCCCCUGACGUCCCUCCUUCACAAUGAGGAAACAGAGGCCCAGAGGGGUCAUAGGUUUGUCUGAGAUCACACAGCUAAACGCAGCAGAGCCCAGUCUGUGUGACUGCAAAGGUCCGGCUCUUCCUUCCCCCACUGCAACUGGACUGCCCCCUGCCUCCCGGGUGACCUCUCUGGGCAGUGGGGUCAGGGUCAGGGCCUGGGGUGGUCUCCACUCACCUCAGGACCUGGCCCAGGACUCCAGGAGCUGGUGUUGUCCGUCUGCUCCCUUGAUCCCACCUUCAUGGAGACAGACAUGGUGACGGUGAGCGUGGCUGGUUGCGGGCUGGGAGCGCUGAUGAGAUGGCCCACGCUGGCCACGUGGCGUGCAUGCCACUGUUCCUAUGGACAGAGCAGUCGCCGUGUGGCACCGCGACAUCUGGGCACAGGACACUGAACUGGUGCUGAGGAAGUGGGAGUUUGUGCUGAGGCCGUUGGCAUCCUGAGGACGGAGUGGCCGGACCCUGUGCCCGGGCUGGGAUGGAAGCAGGGAGUGGAGGUGCUCCCAGCAAGCAGGGAAUGGAGGUGCUCCCAGCAAGCAGGCAGCAGAGGAGGCGUUACCUGCUCCUGGGGCUCUUUGAUCCCCUUCACCCCCACAACACUCAGGGUCAGGACCUCCCUGUGCUUGUCAGCACACCCUGAGUUCCUCCAGUGUCUGGGACAGGGUGCAGGGACAGGAAGGACACCCUUCUAGCUCCCAUCACCAGAGCUCGGGAGGCAGCAGGGCCGGCCUUCGCUCUGGGUCACAGAGGAGCCUUUUGUUCAGGGCCGCAUGGCCAGUGACAGCUUCCUGAGUUGAGGAAGGGAACCGUGAGAAGGAAGCAGUAAGGGAUAUGGUAACUUGAUGGUGAGGGCUUUAACUGCCGUGGUGAGGGAUUUCCACUUUAUCUUGUGGUCCUCUAAUACGUCUUUUCCUUUUUAGGAAAUAAAUUACUGAGGGCCGGGCAUGGUGAUGUGAGCCACCAGCACUUUGGGAGGCCGAGGCAGGCAGAUCACUUGAGGUCAGGAGUUGGAGACCAGCCUGGCCAACAUGGUGAAACCCCAUCUCUACUAA